CUAUAAUUAUUGUGAAAAGUUUUGAACGGGUUGUUUUGUGCAAAUCUCGCUGUACGUCUCUACAUACCUAAAGAAUUUGCUGUACAUAAAAGCUUUAUGUAAUAAGGGAUCAAAAAUGAAUAUGCAAUUACUCCAUUAAGUAACUA